rnacentral:rRNA from 1 species
AGAGUUUGAUCAUGGCUCAGAAUGAACGUUGGCGGCGUGGAUUAGGCAUGCAAGUCGAGCGCGAACCGUAGCAAUACGGGGAGAGCGGCGAAAGGGAGAGGAAUACGUGGAUACCUACCCUCAGGUUCAGGAUAGCUGUGGGAAACUACAGGUAAUACUGAAUAAUAUCUCCGGAUCAAAGGUGAGAUUCCACCUGAGGAGGGGUCCGCGUCCUAUUAGCUUGUUGGCGAGGUAACGGCUCACCAAGGCGAAGAUGGGUAUGGGAUGUGAGAGCAUGAUCCCACUCACUGGGACUGAGACACUGCCCAGACACCUACGGGUGGCUGCAGUCGAGAAUCUUCGGCAAUGGGGGAAACCCUGACCGAGCGACGCCGCGUGUGAGAUGAAGGCCUUCGGGUUGUAAAUCACUGUCAGUGGGGAGGAAAUGCCAGUGGGUUAUCCCAUUAGUUUGACCUAUCCGCAGAGGAAGGACGGGCUAAGUUCGUGCCAGCAGCCGCGGUAAGAC